GGGCUAUUAGCUCAGUGGUAGAGCGCGCCCCUGAUAGAGGUCUCUGGUUCAAGUCCAGGAUGGCCCA
rnacentral:tRNA from 1 species